rnacentral:rRNA from 1 species
GACGAACGCUGGCGGCGUGCUUAACACAUGCAAGUCGAACGGAAAGGCCCUGCUUGCAGGGUACUCGAGUGGCGAACGGGUGAGUAACACGUGGGUGAUCUGCCCUGCACUUCGGGAUAAGCCUGGGAAACUGGGUCUAAUACCGGAUAGGAGCCAUUUUUAGUGUGAUGGUUGGAAAGUUUUUUCGGUGUAGGAUGAGCUCGCGGCCUAUCAGCUUGUUGGUGGGGUAAUGGCCUACCAAGGCGGCGACGGGUAGCCGGCCUGAGAGGGUGGACGGCCACAUUGGGACUGAGGUGCGGCACAGACUGCUACGGGAGGCAGCAGUGGGGAAUAUUGAACAAUGGGCGCAGGCCUGAUGCAGCGACGCCGCGUGGGGGAUGACGGCCUUCGGGUUGUAAACUCCUUUCGCUAGGGACGAAGCUUUUUGUGACGGUACCUAGAUAAGAAGCACCGGCUAACUACGUG